UACGUAGGUGGCUAGCGUUAUCCGGAAUUACUGGGCGUAAAGGGUGCGUAGGUGGUUUUUCAAGUCAGGAGUGAAAGGCUACGGCUCAACCGUAGUAAGCUCUUGAAACUGUAAAACUUGAGUGCAGGAGAGGAGAGUAGAAUUCCUAGUGUAGCGGUGAAAUGCGUAGAUAUUAGGAGGAAUACAAGUUGCGAAGGCGGCUCUCUGGACUGUAACUGACACUGAGGCACGAAAGCGUGGGGAGCAAACAGG
rnacentral:rRNA from 1 species